rnacentral:rRNA from 1 species
UACAGAGGUCCCCAAGCGUUGUUCGGAUUCACUGGGCGUAAAGGGUGCGUAGGUGGUAGGGUAAGUUCGGUGUGAAAUCUCUGGGCCUAACCCAGAAACUGCAUUGAAUACUAUCCUGCUAGAGGUUUGGAAGGGGGACUGGAAUUCUCGGUGUAGCAGUGAAAUGCGUAGAUAUCGAGAGGAACACCAGUGGCGAAGGCGAGUCCCUGGACAACACCUGACACUGAGGCACGAAAGCUAGGGGAGCAAACAGGAUUAGAUACCCG